GGGAAUAUUGCACAAUGGGCGAAAGCCUGAUGCAGCAACGCCGCGUGAGUGAUGAAGGUCUUCGGAUUGUAAAGCUCUGUCUUUUGGGACGAUAAUGACGGUACCAAAGGAGGAAGCCACGGCUAACUACGUGCCAGCAGCCGCGGUAAUACGUAGGUGGCGAGCGUUGUCCGGAUUUACUGGGCGUAAAGGGUGCGUAGGCGGAUGUUUAAGUGAGAUGUG
rnacentral:rRNA from 1 species